rnacentral:rRNA from 1 species
CAAUAGCGUAUAUUAAAGUUGUUGCGGUUAAAACGCUCGUAGUUGGUUUUCUGUCGGGGGUGACUGGUCGUCCCAAGUGGAUGGUACCUGUUCUGCUCCUGGCAUCUUCCAAGGGAACACGUUCGCACUUAAUUGUGUGGCGUGGAAGCUUGGACUUUUACUUUGAGGAAAUGAGAGUGCUUCAAGCGGGUAGUUGCCACGAAUACGUUAGCAUGGAAUAAUAGUAUUGGACCUCGGACCGAAGCUGUUGGUUGCUGGAACGAGGGGAGGAUAAACAGGGACAGUUGGGGGUAUUCGUAUUAACGCGUCAGAGGUGGAAUUCUUGGAUUGCGUUACGACGAACUACUGCGAAAGCAUUUGCCAAAGAUGUUUUCAUUGAUCAAGAACGAAAGUAUGGGGAUCGAAGAUGAUCAGAUACCAU